GACAGAGGGGGCAAGCGUUGCUCGGAAUUACUGGGCGUAAAGGGCGCGUAGGCGGGAUGGCAAGUCGGUCGUGAAAUCCUUCGGCCCAACCGAAGAACGUCGAUCGAUACUGCUGUUCUUGAGGGUUGCAGAGGAGACUGGAAUUCCCGGUGUAGCGGUGAAAUGUGUAGAGAUCGGGAGGAACACCGGUGGCGAAGGCGGUUCUCUGGGCCUUACCUGACGCUGAGGCACGGAAGGCCAGGGGGAGCGAAACGGGG
rnacentral:rRNA from 1 species